rnacentral:lncRNA from 10 species
GCCGGGGCGCGGGCGGUCGGCCGGGAGCCCAGAAUAGGUUUCAGAGAGACGCUUCCUUGCCUCGGACCUCACUGGGGCCAAGAGGCCACAGGGUCAGUCUUCGCAGCUGAAGACAGCGCCGCAAUAAGCAGAGACCUCGGGACGAUGAAUGACGUUGCUGACAAAGAAAAUGAUUUUUUUAAUUGCUUUAACAAAGGAGACUGCUAGUCUCGAAAGCAGACCCGAACUGGACCCUUGUGCCUGUUCGAACUGUAGCCUUGCAAAGGAAUGGACUUACUGAUAACUGGAAUACGGGACUUCACCCCAGGCUUGUUUCUCGACAGCAGCAGCAGCCAAUGAGCAUUGAGGACGGAGCCUAGGAGAGGUGCCUCCCCUAUAGGGGAACAGUGUUUGGGGGAAAUCACUGCAAACGUACAGCUGGAGUUUUGUACCUGAACUUUGGCUCCCAGAAGGCAGGAAAGGAAAUGAAUGAAGCAAGCUGAGUAUGGCGGGGAGGGCCCCUGUGGGUACACCUACGGAGCACCUUGAGCUCAGUAGGGGGACAGUCUGAGUUUUCCAGAAAGAACAGAAAUAUAAAGUGAUGAUUAAAUCUCGGGAUUUUUAAUUUUUGAGUGUUGACAACUAAUUAGAACAUUUUUAAAGCAGGUCAAAGCACAGGCAGGCUAACUGGCCCCACGCACAACUUGCAAGGUGGGGCGCACCAGGCUCACUGCACAGCCCAUACCCACAGACCCCUCAGAUUGGAGUCGGGGCAGAAGCAGAACGCAGGACUCGCAGGAAACAGACCAGGUUCCAAGGCCCCCAGGGUCCCAAAGGCUGGGGUAACUGAAGGUUCCCACGCUCAGGCCUCCACUCUUCAAGUCCGCUGCUACUCCACUGAGAUCUGUAAUGAGUCUCCUGCCAUCUACGCACAGUGGUGACUCCUCUUCUCCAAGGCCCCGCCAGGAGUCUUUCAUUCCAACGUGUUCGCAGGAUCUUCUGGGGAACCGUCCAGCCUGGCAGCUGCAGGAACUGCGAGAAGUUAAGGGUCUGUGCCCACCUAUUCCAGCUUCCCUUGCAAGGAGGGUGUUGGGCACCAGAAGGCCCUGGGGAAAGUGGGAGCCGCAGACAGCCAGGCAGCUCUUCUAUGUCUGGGGUUUGCAGGAGCACUGCCUUCCGGGGGGGGGGGGAGGGGAGGCGGGUGAGGACAGCACGUGACUUCCCCUCCUAAUGUUCAUGUGGUGGGGAGUCACCCUGGGGGCCUCCCGCCAAAUUUUAGUAUCUCUGUGAUUUUAGUUGUUGCCCCAAGCAGUUAGGACUUGUGUAGUUUGAAAGAAAAAUCUCACCCAGCAUAAAAAGAGAAAAGGGGGAAUUGUAACAAAUGUUAAUCAUAAGCACUGUUUCAACCCGGAAAAAUGUUUGCUGCCAGGCUGUGGGCAAAGAGGUGGCCUCGGCGGCUGGCAGCUCAGUGGGCCUUCCAAGUUUACUAAGCAGGGUCUUGUAUUUUUAAAUAAAAUAGAGCAUCAGACACGCUCACUUAAAUAUAAAAAAUAAUAAAAACAAGUUUUGAAUUAAGUUUAAGACACAUUAAGAAUAAAACAAAUCUAAGAAUAAAGGGAAUCAGUGAUUUCCAAGCUGCAGGCUGUGUGAAAGUUCUGUGGUGUUUGUUAGGUGACCUGUGCUUUUAUUGUCUGCCUGACAGCCCUCAUCAUAAAACAAUUUUUUAAAAAAAAAGCCAGCGCCAGCUCACGCCUAUAACUGCAGGGUUUUAGGAGGCUGAGGCAGGAGGAUGGUCUGAGCCCAGGAGUUCAAGACCAGCCUGGGCAACAAAGCAAGACACGGUCUCUACUAAAAACAGGUUUUUUUAAUUAGCCAAGCGUGGUGUUGUGCACCUGUGGUCUCAGCUAUUUGGGAGAUUGGAGCAGAAGGAUCACUUGGGCCCUGGAGUUCAAGGCUACAAGUGAGCUGUGAUCGUGCUGCUAUGAUUGUGCCACUGCGCUCCAGGCUGGGCGACAGAAUGAGACCCCUUCCCCCCACCCACUCCGCAAAGAAAAAGGCGUGCAGCUAGAUAGCAGCUGAAUGUUUUUGGGGUGUCCACCAGCCCCGCUGGCAGCGUUCGUCAGUCUUGCAGACUCAGGGGGGAUGUCUCUGGUCACAAAUGAAUCCACAUCCCAGGGAGAAACUUGUGGCCACCUAAUUGCUCUGUAAAUGCAGAGGGAUGCGUUUCUCAAGGCUGCCUUAACGAAUGAUCACAAACGUAUGCAACUUCAACAACAGGUGGAUUCUCACAGCUGUAGAAGCCAGAACCAGGGUGUGGGCAGGGCUGCACUCCCUCUAGAGGCUCUAGGGGAGGAUCCUUCCUGCUUCCUCCAGCUUCCGGUGGCUCCAAGCAUUCCUGGGCUUGUGGUCACAUCACUCCAGUCUCUGUCUUCUCCUGACCUUCUCCCUGUGUGUCUGUGUCCUCUCCUUUUAUAAGGAUACCAGUCAUUGGAUUCAAGACCUCCCUAAAUCCAAAACGAUUUCAUCAUGAGAUCCUUUACCAAUUAUGUCUGCAAAGCCCCUGCUUCCAGAUAAGGUCACAUCCUCAUGUUCUGGUGGAUAUGGUUUGAGGGGACACUAUUCAAGCUAGUAUACGGGAUGGCUACUUACUGUUCACUUACAGGGAGACCUUUGGUAAGAGGCACUUAGCCUGGCCCCUUCACCCUGGGACACAAGUCUGGGGAGGCUGGAGCCUGAGACAGUAGCCUGUGACUUGAGAGUUCCGGAGUAGAGAAGUCCACUGGCCAAGACACCUCCAACCCCUGCCCUGCUUUCCCAAGAAAAUGAGGAUUCUCAGAUCUGCUCGGCCAGGACUCUCUCGCCAGGGUCAGGGCUUGGCCAGGCACUAGCAUUAAUCAGGCCUGACACGUGAUCAAGGGCCAGGUGGAGCCUGUUGUACAGAUGAGGGGGGACUGGAGCUUGAAGUUAAGUCAGCAGCCCAGGUUUCAUUCUUGGAAGGGGCAGAAACCUUGGACUUGGACCCCAAAGCUGGCAGAGCUGGCACUGCGCAGUUGACCAGCCCAUGCAUCCACACACCAGGCGCCACGGAUUAGAUGCCUGCUCACUAAAUUAUAGUCAAGAGUCAGGCCUGCUUCCUCCCUGAAAUUGACCCAGAUCUCCCAAGCGGGGCUGUCUGCAAACUCUUGAGUGACUCAUUUACAACAGCCUCUUGGCUGACUCCCACAAAUGGCUAACCAUAGCCAUCGCGGAUGGAUUUUACUAGCUUAACUCAGACAGCAGCGCAUUUCAAAGCUCAGGAGUAAACGGCGUUGUCCUGAUGGCACUCCAACAAGUCAGCCUUCCUGGGACGCUUCCUCCUUCCCAAGGUGCAAGCAAGAAAUGACCUUUCCGGUGAGAGAAGCCUGUGGCCUCUAGACUCCUCCCUAACCUGGAAAGGUGCAACGCUACUGGGCUCCACUUUCUAAGCACGAGGUCCACCCAGG